UAAGGAAUAUUGGUCAAUGGACGAAAGUCUGAACCAGCCAUGCCGCGUGGAGGAUGAAGGUCCUCUGGAUUGUAAACUUCUUUUAUCUGGGACGAAAAAAGGUCUUUCUAGAUCGUCUGACGGUACCAGAUGAAUAAACACCGGCUAACUCCGUGCCAGCGGCCGCGGUAAUACGGAGGGUGCAAGCGUUAUCCGGAUUCACUGGGUUUAAAGGGUGCGUAGGUGGGUUGGUAAGUCAGUGGUGAAAUCCUCGAGCUUAACUCGGAAACUGCCAUUGAUACUAUCAGUCUUGAAUAUUGUGGAGGUUAGCGGAGUAUGUCAUGUAGCGGUGAAAAUGCUUAGAUAUGACAUAGAACACCAAUUGCGAAGGCAGCUGGCUACACAUAUAUUGACACUGAGGCACGAAAAGCGUGGGGAUCAAAACAGGAUUAGAUACCCUGGUAGUCCACGCCCUAAACUAUGGAUACUCGACAUACGCGAUACACUGUGUGUGUCUGAGCGAAAAGCAUUAAGUAUCCCCACCUGGGAAGUACGAUCGCAAGAUUGAAACUCAAAUGAAUGACGGGGUCAUAGCUGUUU
rnacentral:rRNA from 1 species